CGGGGGGGUGGAAUUACAGCCGUCCUGUAGUGGUAGACACAAGUUCAGAGCUCCACUUCCCCCCUCUUUAAUUAGGCUGGGGAGAGCCGCGGAGGCGCCUGGUUGAGGUGCAAGCGAGGCGGCCGGGACGAGCGAUGCAGAAGGGGUAUCAGCGUGCAAGCUGGAAACUCAAACCCAUUGGGACAGUAAAUAUUUUGGACCUGUGUCUUUGGAAGAUGGAAGAAAACAAAGCAGCUGCCAAUAAGGUUUCAUCCUGCUCUGAGUCCCAUGGCAACUCCACCAGUGAAGAGGGAAGAUGAGUUUGGCCCAUUGCUUGGCAGUACCUUGCAAGGUUGUCACUGAAGUCUGAUUAGCCCUUAUGAGCUCCUUUGCCUUCAGGGGAAGCCUAACAUGGGAUCAGUUCUGCGUACUAGCAGAAGUUUUGUGUCCUUGCCUUCCUCGCUGCCUUCAGGAUCAUAAAAUCCAGCAUCUGACAGCUCCUGCAGUAAAGACUGUUACUGACUGACUGACAGCUCAUUUUCAUUCAGGAUUCCAGCAAAGCAUCUGCCCUGGUCAGUUGCUCAGCACUUGCAUCAAAAAAUUGUCUUCCCUGAACUCUAGAAAUCUGGAUUGCUUUGCAAUCCAUCACACUGUUCUCUCAGUAAAUUCUGGCAUGGUUAAACUUCUCCAUGAGAGUCAGGAAGAAUUUGAGAAUCUUCUUUCAAUUGUUUAAGAAAUCUUCGUCCACAGUCUCUCCUUGAUCAUUCACCACCAUGACAUUCCCCCAUUCUGGCUUCCCCUCUGACCCUGACCCAUCAGCCUGUUACCCAUGCAACCGUGGACUUGACUGUUAUUUCCUCUUUCCUAUCCUAGGCAUUUUAAAAUAAAAAUGCUAUAGCUUC